CCUGAUUUAGACUUCAUGUAUGAAAUAUAAGGUAAACCAACUCCAUGAGAUCAUGAUCCAAAGCCUUUCUCCCAUUUAGAUGAGUCAAAAUUCCCUAAGAGCCUCAAAGUGGACUCCAGGAAAUGCCCACACCCAAAUAGAUUAUUAGAUUAGGAUAAAUGUAGUGUGAAAAGGCCAGCCCUCAAGUGUCCGAGUUCAUAGGAACUCAAGGUCCCAAGGCAGAGGGGAGCAGAAAUUGAAGACUAAGAGAGAGUGCAAGUGCAGGUACAAAAUCCUGUGAGGGGGAAAGGGGAAGGGAAAUAGUUACAAAUAAGUACACCUAGGGGUUCAAAGGAAUGGGGAGAUUGUAAAGAGGCAAGGGCAGGCUAUGGGCAUACCCAGCAAUGGAGAAUGCUAGGACACCCAGAAGCCUGUCAGAACACACUAUUAGAGUCUAGGAUCCCAAGGGAUCAGGUUUAAUUCAUGGACAAUAAUUCGCAUAUUUCCAUGCCUUAAACCAUAGCUCAAACACAUAGGGGGCAAGGCUUUUGUGGAUUCAUAAUAGGAGAGGCAGAAGGAAAUCAGAUUGCUAAUUUAAGUGAUGAACUAUACAGAAACAGUAAGUAGACAUAGAUACAAAAAAACAGUAAAUAAACAUACUGUUAUGGUGCGAAAGCUUAAAUCAGGAUAUACCAGUUUCAAAGAAACAAAUAGAGAGAAGUAGCAGGUCUUGUAAACAUGCCACAGUGUAGACAAGAAGAGAGAACACUAUUGUGUAUAAGUGUAAGUUUAGAAAGACUAAGAAUGAGUGAUUGUGUUUGUGUCAAUGAAAGAGUCGUGCAUUUAUAGCGUGAAAAACAAGCAGAAAUAAGGUAAGAAAAUAGUUAAGAAAC
rnacentral:lncRNA from 1 species